rnacentral:pre_miRNA from 1 species
AGGAGGAACAACUGCAGUGGCUGGGCCAGCUCAUCAGCCCUGGAGUUAGCCCCCACAGUAGCUCCAGAGCUCUCUGUCUGCAGGGCCUGGAGGCUCUGGGGCGGG